UUUAGAACUCAAGAUAUGGGCUGAACACUAAACAGUGUCUAGGUUGUAAGACAUAUUCAGACUUCUCGUUUGCUGCUACGAUUUGAACUCCAAAACUGCCCUUUUGAAUCUUAAACUCUUCAUGAAAGUUUUAGGCCUAUGUCUUAGCUUUCUAUC
rfam:Populus trichocarpa isolate Nisqually-1 chromosome 5, whole genome shotgun sequence.